GGUAUAAUCAUGAUCAUUGAUGAUUACAUGAAUAUCCUUGGCCGUGGUGCAGGGAUGAUUCGAUGAUGUGGGUUAUUUAUUAAGUUGAGUCUCAGCGAUAAAGUUGAUGAAAACCCUUUUUUAAAUCAUAAUGAUAGUAGAUAUCAUGCUUGUGACGACCCCAGAAUAGGUCCAAUCCAUCCAACCCAUUCUGAGGCGCCAAAUACAUGGUACAGAAAACAACUACAACUUUAUUACAACAAUUGUCGUGCAAAAUACAACAACACUUAAACUGUGAGUUUAAAUACAAAUAUAUACCAACUGUGACUCAUGUUCUAACCGUGGACAGCACCUCAUAAUGACACCUUACAUAAAGGUAUAGUCGAAAACUGUUUUAGAAAUUAGAAUCUUUGGGAAGUGCUCAAGGAAACCUUCGUACAUGGGAG
rnacentral:lncRNA from 1 species